CUCCAAAUCAGGAACUUUCUGCAGAUCGGUGGGACACAGCCGCUGCUGAAGGAACGCACAGUGCCAGAAGAUGGCACCAUUGUCAACGUUUGCAGGGAAAGUGGGCUGAAGGCUUGCAUUUCUAGCCAUUUCUGUGUGGCUCAGCCAAACAGAAUGUACUUAAAGGACGGUUGUGUGUAGAUUUCUGUGCUAAGGGUAUCCUGUAAAUGACAACAAAAUGUUCCAAACCAGUUUGGUACUCCCGGAAGGCGGCACAGGGCAGGGCAACGUAGCCAUAAUUGCUGCAUUAAAGCUUUAAUGAAAGAAAAAAGCCGCAGAUCAAGAUGACACGCAACGUCUCCAUUUGCACCGUGGCAUUCUGCUUGUUUAGUAAUGGGAAGCUACUGAGGAGAUUAAAACUGCAGAAUUCUUCAUAGUUUGUUCUGAAAUUGCUAUAGGAAGAUCAUUCGGGGUCUAAAAUACACACAAUUUAUUUUUCCACCUUCAAUUUGCAAGAAUUUAAUGGCUUUCCUAACUAGUAGGUGGUUGGAGAUAUGCUUUAUAUUGAAGAGAAAAACUACUUCGGAUCAUAAAAAUGAUCAGAAGUGAGCGGAUCAGAAUUUAAAUCUCCAACGAUUUCCUUAGCGCACUAGAAGAUUGCCCCAAAUAGUGUGCUAUAGUUUGUGUUGACUUGGUGAGCUAUAAGAAGAUAUCCUUUUCAAAAUAUCAACAGGUUGGCUUGUGAUAUUGUGUGUCUGCAUUCUGCGGUUCCCUCCUCACUCCAACGAUAUCAGGAACUGGUGCAAAGGACAGCCAGUCGUGUGGGGAGGUAAGGCCCUGGCAAGCUGCUAGCUGGCUUGUGGGAGAAUUUAGUUGUUUUUUUUUUUUUUUUUAAAUGGCUUCCUGUGAACUUCUUUCUCCUAAGUUUGAAAUUUUCUUCCAAUGUCAACUCCACAUAGGUUGGCGAUGUUUUCUGUAAACCAUCCCUGGCACAUCAUGUCAGCAGAGACUGGAGACCUUCAUUACGUGUCACAGCACUAAACAGAGGGAGUGGGAAUUUGCUGAGAACACACCAGCAAGGAAGUAGCAAGGUCCUCAGUGCCAAUGGCUAAGGGGGAAGUAGCCAUAUAUUUACAUGCAUGGUAUUGGUGUGAACUUUUCUUCCUUUUGCAAAAAGAACAAUGCAAAAGCAACUUCUCUUACGAGAGGAAACGUGAGGGAGGGCUCCUGUGACGGCCUGGGUUCUUGGCUUUCUGAGUUCUCACUUUAGGAAAGUGAUUCACUUGCUCCAUGGUUUUGUUUUGGUGUUUGUUUCUCACGGGCUUGAUAAAAUGCAUCUUUCUCUAUGUGCAGUUCUCUUGGAAUGAAAAACUUCAAGUACAUAGCCUUCUGGCAUGGCUGGCUUCCUCACAGAAGUAAGAAUGUGCUGUUGGCAUGGGGGCUGGAACCGCGGGUAAGCACAGCCCCGCAGGAAUCGGCACAAGUGCCGGGCAGAAGCAGCCUGGCCGCUCACAGAGCAUCACAGCUACUUCUGCGAGAGUGUUACUGAGGAGGGAGGCAGGAGGGGGAAAGCAUGGGCUGCGGAAGACACACAGAAGCAAGAAGUAUGAUCUUCCAACUCCAAGAUUUCACGGAACAGAAGCAGAUGUUACAGGUGCCCACCCACGCUGCUCCCCUGUCAAACAGGAAAGACACCGGAGGACUGACCCCACACUCUCCAGCCUGCCUCUCCUGUGUCUGCGAGGCUGGCAGCUGAUGCAGGACCGAAGAGGGGGCCCCCAGGGUACUGUGUUCUAACAGCGAGACUGUUUUAAGGUGUCUUCUUUAAGCUACAUCUUUGUACGCGGCGGCAAUGAACAGAGAAAAUGGUAGAGGGAAGCAGCCUUUCCGGCAAGCUUGGCCGCCGUUCGCUGGAGAGCUUGGUGUGUGGUUGAGCAGAAGACGAACUUUUAGGGAAAGUCACCUGAAGCUGAACAGCAGACGAGUCAGAGGAAAAAAAAAAGAGCAACAGGGGAGGAGUAGACCCGGAGGAGCAGCACCCAGGGUGUGUUCACACUACCAGACUCCCCACAGUUUCCCUCCUCAUGUGCCAAGCGGUGAGAGGCACGGACACGUGGCCCGUGCUGUCUCCACACAGGGGACACUCACGGAGAAGAUCUACAUCUGUAAAAAGCAAGGCCGGGAAACAACUCACCAAACGCGAGAACGUGUGGAAGUUAUUUCCUAAUAGAGUUUCUACUUAGAGGGAAAAAAAAAAAAAGGCCAACAAGUUUCUUGCGCCCUCACUUCAAA